rnacentral:rRNA from 1 species
CUACGGAGGGGGCUAGCGUUGUUCGGAAUUACUGGGCGUAAAGCGUACGCAGGCGGAUAUUUAAGUUAGAGGUGAAAUCCCAGGGCUCAACCCUGGAACUGCCUUUAAAACUGGGUAUCUAGAGUUAUGGAGAGGUAAGUGGAAUUCCUAGUGUAGAGGUGAAAUUCGUAGAUAUUAGGAGGAACACCAGAGGCGAAGGCGGCUUACUGGACAUAUACUGACGCUGAGGUACGAAAGUGUGGGGAGCAAACGGGAUUAGAAACCCUAGUAGUCC